rnacentral:rRNA from 1 species
CAGUAGCCGCGGUAAUACGGAGGGUGCAAGCGUUAAUCGGAAUUACUGGGCGUAAAGCGCACGCAGGCGGUCUGGCAAGUCAGAUGUGAAAUCCCCGGGCUUAACCUGGGAACUGCAUUUGAAACUGUCAGGCUGGAGUCUUGUAGAGGGGGGUGGAAUUCCAGGUGUAGCGGUGAAAUGCGUAGAGAUCUGGAGGAAUACCGGUGGCGAAGGCGGCCCCCUGGACAAAGACUGACGCUCAGGUGCGAAAGCGUGGGGAGCAAACAGGAUUAGAUACCCCUGUAGUCCCUGUCUCUUAUAC